AAGCACCGGCUAACUCCGUGCCAGCAGCCGCGGUAAUACGUAGGGUGCAAGCGUUAUCCGGAAUCAUUGGGUUUAAAGGGUCCGUAGGCGGACGAUUAAGUCAGAGGUGAAAGUCUGCAGCUCAACUGUAGAAUUGCCUUUGAUACUGGUUGUCUUGAAUUAUUGUGAAGUGGUUAGAAUAAGUAGUGUAGCGGUGAAAUGCAUAGAUAUUACUUAGAAUACCAAUUGCGAAGGCAGAUCACUAACAAUAUAUUGACGCUGAGGGACGAAAGCGUGGGGAGCGAACAGGAUUAGAUACCCUGGUAGUCCACGCCGUAAACGAUGGAUACUAGCUGUUCGAUUUUCGGAUUGAGUGGCUAAGCGAAAGUGAUAAGUAUCCCACCUGGGGAGUACGUUCGCAAGAAUGAAACUCAAAGGAAUUGACGGGG
rnacentral:rRNA from 1 species